AAUCACUAACCCAGGCUUGAUGUUAUUUUAAUCAAGCAUGAUAAGAAUAAUGAAAUGAUGCACCUCUUAGGAUUUAUUUGUAUGGCAGGGGAGGACUUCAGGAACAUAUCAUAUAAAUGAUGGAAGCCCAAGGACUUUUCCUAUCUUGCUGGUUUGUCCUUCUACCACCCCACGGGGUGGGGGCGCUGUGAUGAGGCAGAAGCAACAGAACAGGGUAGGGGUGGGGGUAGUCAGGAGACAUGGGUGAGUUACCUGGAGCAGAUGCCCUGCUCCCAGGACCCCAGUCUCUUCACAUGGGGAGGACUUGAUGCAGCAGCAUGUUGGUGAAUGUUUAAUGCCUAAUAAAUGCUUCUCCCCAAAAACAUGUAUUUUCAUAUGCGGCAUAUGCUUAUUAUACAAUUUACUAAUAUUAGCGAUGUGUAGUAUACAAUUUAAAAUAAUAAAACAUAGACUACUCUAUUGUACAUUCUGCAUAGCCAGUUGGUUUUUGUCAAUUUUUGCUGAACUCUCCCAUCAGUAUCCAACCAACAGUUGCAUCUGACAAAUGAAUGUGGUUCUGACAUGAACAUUGGUUGAUAUUUUUGUUUAUGUUAAAGAGGAAGGUGAAAGUGAAACCACAAAGACACAUGUUGGGACAAUAUGCGUUCGUCAGUGGCAUGAGUGGCUUCUCUGCUGAGUUGGAGAAUGGUAUUGGAAUACUGAUAGCCUAUAUCCUUGAGUUUUGCACUGUUCACAGUGUAACAACUAUCUAUAUGAUACACUGAAUUCCUGACAUUUUUGCCACUAUUCUUUUAAGUAUUGGCAAUCAAUAAAACAGUAGAUCAAGCUCUGGUGUGUAGUGUUGGCCAGUGUCUAUGGUAUAAAGACUCCUACCUUGACCUCUGUUAAGCCACCCAUGUGAUGUCACUGAAAUUGGAUUUGGGAAGGGAUGUGGGGUUAUAUACCAUUAUAUAGUGUAUCCACUAUACAGAUACAGGAGAUAUAAAGAACCUCAGAAGUACACAUAAUAGUAAAACAUAGUAAAAUACUUAGUAAGAGGUAGCUGUAUUUAUGACCUUUUUUUAAAAUAUAAUUUAUUUAAUAGAAGUUUACAUAAUUUAACUUUUAAUUAUGGCUGUGCUUAAUAAAACAGCUUGGAAAAUUCCUUAAAAUUUCACCAUCUGCUCUCAGGAAGGUAUGAGCUGGUUGCAGCAGAGCAGAGGUUUGAUGAGAUUCAUCCCAGUGUCCACCGCCAGAUGAGAUUUCCAAGAAGGGCUAGCAUUUCAGACCCUUCCUCUCCCAAGUCACUGUCCCUCCCAUCCAGGGCCCAUCCUGCUUCCUCUCUGAAAGGAGCAGAUGUAAAGCAGUUGAAUCUGAUGGCAGAACAUAGGUUGCCUUUGGAGCUGACCUCCUUCUGGAGCCCACUGACAUCAUGAUCUGGGGCCUGGAAAGUGAAUGUCUGGAUGCGUGUUUUAAAGAGUGAUUUUUAUCAGGGAAAAAGCACCUGCUUUCAACCCUCAGCCCCGUGGAUUCUGUAAGGCUAAUGCAACAUCAGUUCAUGCCAGUGUGCAGACAGUGAAAAGAAGUGUGUCUCAAGGUCAAGCCAUCCCCAGGAGAGAAUAGCAGCCUGACAAGAGCAUGACCAGGGGAUAGAUAUUUACCUUGUGAUUCAUUAGCACAAGCCCUGCACAGGCUCAGACAACUGCCUGCUGCAAUGUUCCUGAGAGGCCAACACCAGUCAGUUAAGCAAAAGGUUGAGGGUGGGGUAAAGUGCUAUCAUUUCCUGGAUGCCUGCUGCAACCUUGACCCUUUGAGGCCAUACCUCUGACCUUCACAGCUCAUCAGGCCUCCUGAUGCCUGCUUUCUCGAUGAGGAAACUGAUGCACAAGAGGUGAAGUGAGCUGCACAAGCUCCUGCAGAAGUAAGCCAUGGAGCUGGGAUUUUUAACCCAGGAUGAUCUGGCUCCCAAAUCAACUCCAAGUGAUUCACUGACAAUAAGAAACAGAAAUGUCCGGGGAGUUCCCUGGUGGCUCACAGGUUAAGGACCUGGGAUUCACUGCUGUGGCUCAGGUGACAGCUGUGGCAUGGGUUCAGUCUGUGGCCUGGGAACUUCUGUUUGCCACAGGUGCAACCAGAAAAGAAAGAGAGAGAAAGAGAGAGAGUGGGAGAGAAAGAAAGAGAAAGGAGGGAGGGAAGAAAAGAAGGAAAAAAGAAAGAAAGCGGAAGAACGAAGGAAGAAAGGAAAGAAAGGAAGGACGAUUAUGUCCAGCGGAUGGGAACCUUGUAGCUCUCUGUAAGGAAGACAUACAGCUGGAGGUUGUAAACUGUAAACUCAAGUCUAAUCCUGAUUGCAGUGUUGUUUUGUUUGGCCUGAAUAGUGUUUUCUAAAAAAUGUUUGAAUUCAUUACCAACCCUUAAAAAUAGGGAGUUUUCAUAUAGUUUCAUGCAGAAUGCAGAAUUCUGGUUCCUCUUGGGAAACCAGAAGAUCUGGGAACAGUCAGUUGGAGCUGAGGAUGACUGCCAUUUUCAGAAGGAACAGGAACACUCUUGAGUGCCAUCGUCCCCACCCACCCUGGGGCUGCUCUGUGGGAAAUUAGAUGACCCCACAGCUGCAGAGGGAGGCUAGACCCAGCCCAGGAAGUUCUUGGACACCAACAUGUAAGGGUACCAGCCUGUCAGAACUUCCUUGUUGUACCGGUUUGCUAGGCUGCCUUAACAAAGUACCACACACUGGGUGGCCUAAACAACAGAAAUCUGUUUCCAUUCUGGAGGCUAAAAUCCAAGGUCAAGGCAGGAUUGGUUUCUUCUGAGGCCUCUUCUUGGUUUGUAGAUGGCUGCGUUGUCUCUGUGUCUUCCCUCUGAGUCCUAAUCUCCUCUUCUUAUAAGGACACCAGCCAUGUUGGAUUAGGGCCAACUCUAAUGACCUUGUUUUAACUUGAUUACCUCUUCAAAGACCCUCUCUCCAAAUACAGGCACAUUCUGAGGUACUAGAGGUUAUGACUUGAAUAUACACAUUUGGGAGGGGCUGCAACUCAGCCCCUAAUGAUCAGAUAUUGAUUGUCUUUCCCUAGGGACAGACCUAAUUUUGUACAGUCUGAAACUUAUACAGUGUUGGAAGCCUUCUUCUUCUUCUUUUUUUAAUGGCCACACUGGCUGAAUAUGAAAAUUCCCAGUCCAGAAAUUGAAUCUAAGCUGCAGCCAUGACCUACACCACAGCUGUGUAGGUCAGCUCUGGAUCCUUUAACCCACCGUGCCCGGCCAGGGAUUAAACCCGCAUCUCUGCAGCAACCUGAGCUGAUGCAUUUGGAUUCUUAAUGUCUGUGCCAUAGAGAAAACUCCUGGAAACCUUCUUGGUAAAGAAGAAUAUAUAACUGUGAAUGUAGAACUCGGUGCAGGGAGCAGAGCUGCCGGUGCCCUACCCAUGUCCCCCAGGCUGUGCUGGAACUCAGGGUCAGGACCUCCAGCUUUCGCCAAGGCCCUUGCCCACCAAGAGUGCUGGGGAAAUAACUCCUGCUGCCACACUCCCAAGCCCUUGGCCAGUGACUCCUCACCCCUGAAGUGGGACAGCUCUGAGGUGUGUCUUCUACCCGGGGCAUUAAUUGUGUCUUUAUUUCCGAUAUUGCUGUUGUUUUGACAUCUAGGGCCUUGCUGACCCUGGGAGGUUGCCCCCUCCCAGAGUUAGCCAAUUGUUAGAGAUAGUAAAAAAUGCAACUUUCAAGUGCAAGUCAGCCACUCAAGGGCUCACACCCCAAGCACCUUCUUUAUCAGGCUCUCUCUCCUUUUGUAAUCACCCUCAAGCCAGGUACCAGCCAACUAGGACCACCUGGUGCCCAUAGUCCACAUAAAUUAGUCAAGCUAGCCCAUUGUAAUCAUACCCUGCCUCACGUGUUCCUUCCUGCAGAAACUGCAAUAAAGAUUCUUCAUAGGCCCUCCUCCCUCUGCCUUCUGCCCAACCCUGGUGUUUCUCCGUGUGGCUCCUCAUGGGCUAUGCCCCCCUCCUCUUGGGAACUACGAGUAACAAGCUAUCUUUUCAAUGGCAGUCGCCUCCUGAUCUGUUGGCCUUGCCUUAACUAAAUAAUAAUAAAAGCUGUAUUUUAAAACAUUCUGUUCCCCAAGGGCCCCUAUGGGAUUCAGCUCCAGACACCCACAAUGGGAGCUGGCUUGAUCAUGCAGCCUUUGCUGGCUGACUGCCCUUCCCGGUCUCAUUUCCCCACAUGCCUGCCAAUAUGCCUCCCAGAUAAACCAACCAUAUUCUCAGCCUUGUCCCACGGGCUGCUUCCAGGGGAACCAAAUUAAGUCAGCACAGAAGUGAAUGUUUAUUUUAAAUACAGAGAGGAAAUAAAAGUGGAGACAGCGGCCUUAACUGAUGGCUGUUGUAGGAUCUUACAUUGGCAAAUUUAAAAAAAACGCGGGACCACAUGAACACGUUAGGGCUCUUGGAAGGGGCUCAGAUGAGGGCCACAAUGCUUACAGUUCAUUAGUUUAUGAUAAGUCACCCUCUGACUAGGACAGAGGCUCCAUGAGGGCCAGUACAGUGCCCGGCACAGUGGCUGGCAUGUAGCAGGUGCUUUAUGCAUAGUAGUUUAAUGAACGAACAUCCUAACAGAGCAGACUUGGUGUGCCCCUUUCUCUCCUGGGUGGGGCUUGGUUGGCAUCCUUUAGAUCCCUGUUUUGAGGGUGUCUCCUGGUAGUAGCAAGCCUCCUUCCAAGGGGCACAAUUGAUUUCUUUAGACAUGCUAAUUCCAGAGUUCCCAUGUGGCUUAUUGAUAAUGAACCCAACUGGUAUCCAUGAGAAUGUGGGUUCAAUCCCUGGCUUCA
rnacentral:lncRNA from 1 species